rnacentral:rRNA from 1 species
UUAAGCGACUAAGCGUACACGGUGGAUGCCCUGGCAGUCAGAGGCGAUGAAGGACGUGCUAAUCUGCGAUAAGCGUCGGUAAGGUGAUAUGAACCGUUAUAACCGGCGAUUUCCGAAUGGGGAAACCCAGUGUGUUUCGACACACUAUCAUUAACUGAAUCCAUAGGUUAAUGAGGCGAACCGGGGGAACUGAAACAUCUAAGUACCCCGAGGAAAAGAAAUCAACCGAGAUUCCCCCAGUAGCGGCGAGCGAACGGGGAGGAGCCCAGAGCCUGAAUCAGUGUGUGUGUUAGUGGAAGCGUCUGGAAAGGCGCGCGAUACAGGGUGACAGCCCCGUACACAAAAAUGCACAUGCUGUGAGCUCGAUGAGUAGGGCGGGACACGUGGUAUCCUGUCUGAAUAUGGGGGGACCAUCCUCCAAGGCUAAAUACUCCUGACUGACCGAUAGUGAACCAGUACCGUGAGGGAAAGGCGAAAAGAACCCCGGCGAGGGGAGUGAAAAAGAACCUGAAACCGUGUACGUACAAGCAGUGGGAGCACGCUUAGGCGUGUGACUGCGUACCUUUUGUAUAAUGGGUCAGCGACUUAUAUUCUGUAGCAAGGUUAACCGAAUAGGGGAGCCGAAGGGAAACCGAGUCUUAACUGGGCGUUAAGUUGCAGGGUAUAGACCCGAAACCCGGUGAUCUAGCCAUGGGCAGGUUGAAGGUUGGGUAACACUAACUGGAGGACCGAACCGACUAAUGUUGAAAAAUUAGCGGAUGACUUGUGGCUGGGGGUGAAAGGCCAAUCAAACCGGGAGAUAGCUGGUUCUCCCCGAAAGCUAUUUAGGUAGCGCCUCGUGAAUUCAUCUCCGGGGGUAGAGCACUGUUUCGGCAAGGGGGUCAUCCCGACUUACCAACCCGAUGCAAACUGCGAAUACCGGAGAAUGUUAUCACGGGAGACACACGGCGGGUGCUAACGUCCGUCGUGAAGAGGGAAACAACCCAGACCGCCAGCUAAGGUCCCAAAGUCAUGGUUAAGUGGGAAACGAUGUGGGAAGGCCCAGACAGCCAGGAUGUUGGCUUAGAAGCAGCCAUCAUUUAAAGAAAGCGUAAUAGCUCACUGGUCGAGUCGGCCUGCGCGGAAGAUGUAACGGGGCUAAACCAUGCACCGAAGCUGCGGCAGCGACGCUUAUGCGUUGUUGGGUAGGGGAGCGUUCUGUAAGCCUGUGAAGGUGUGCUGUGAGGCAUGCUGGAGGUAUCAGAAGUGCGAAUGCUGACAUAAGUAACGAUAAAGCGGGUGAAAAGCCCGCUCGCCGGAAGACCAAGGGUUCCUGUCCAACGUUAAUCGGGGCAGGGUGAGUCGACCCCUAAGGCGAGGCCGAAAGGCGUAGUCGAUGGGAAACAGGUUAAUAUUCCUGUACUUGGUGUUACUGCGAAGGGGGGACGGAGAAGGCUAUGUUGGCCGGGCGACGGUUGUCCCGGUUUAAGCGUGUAGGCUGGUUUUCCAGGCAAAUCCGGAAAAUCAAGGCUGAGGCGUGAUGACGAGGCACUACGGUGCUGAAGCAACAAAUGCCCUGCUUCCAGGAAAAGCCUCUAAGCAUCAGGUAACAUCAAAUCGUACCCCAAACCGACACAGGUGGUCAGGUAGAGAAUACCAAGGCGCUUGAGAGAACUCGGGUGAAGGAACUAGGCAAAAUGGUGCCGUAACUUCGGGAGAAGGCACGCUGAUAUGUAGGUGAAGUCCCUCGCGGAUGGAGCUGAAAUCAGUCGAAGAUACCAGCUGGCUGCAACUGUUUAUUAAAAACACAGCACUGUGCAAACACGAAAGUGGACGUAUACGGUGUGACGCCUGCCCGGUGCCGGAAGGUUAAUUGAUGGGGUCAGCGCAAGCGAAGCUCUUGAUCGAAGCCCCGGUAAACGGCGGCCGUAACUAUAACGGUCCUAAGGUAGCGAAAUUCCUUGUCGGGUAAGUUCCGACCUGCACGAAUGGCGUAAUGAUGGCCAGGCUGUCUCCACCCGAGACUCAGUGAAAUUGAACUCGCUGUGAAGAUGCAGUGUACCCGCGGCAAGACGGAAAGACCCCGUGAACCUUUACUAUAGCUUGACACUGAACAUUGAGCCUUGAUGUGUAGGAUAGGUGGGAGGCUUAGAAGUGUGGACGCCAGUCUGCAUGGAGCCGACCUUGAAAUACCACCCUUUAAUGUUUGAUGUUCUAACGUUGACCCGUAAUCCGGGUUGCGGACAGUGUCUGGUGGGUAGUUUGACUGGGGCGGUCUCCUCCUAAAGAGUAACGGAGGAGCACGAAGGUUGGCUAAUCCUGGUCGGACAUCAGGAGGUUAGUGCAAUGGCAUAAGCCAGCUUGACUGCGAGCGUGACGGCGCGAGCAGGUGCGAAAGCAGGUCAUAGUGAUCCGGUGGUUCUGAAUGGAAGGGCCAUCGCUCAACGGAUAAAAGGUACUCCGGGGAUAACAGGCUGAUACCGCCCAAGAGUUCAUAUCGACGGCGGUGUUUGGCACCUCGAUGUCGGCUCAUCACAUCCUGGGGCUGAAGUAGGUCCCAAGGGUAUGGCUGUUCGCCAUUUAAAGUGGUACGCGAGCUGGGUUUAGAACGUCGUGAGACAGUUCGGUCCCUAUCUGCCGUGGGCGCUGGAGAACUGAGGGGGGCUGCUCCUAGUACGAGAGGACCGGAGUGGACGCAUCACUGGUGUUCGGGUUGUCAUGCCAAUGGCACUGCCCGGUAGCUAAAUGCGGAAGAGAUAAGUGCUGAAAGCAUCUAAGCACGAAACUUGCCCCGAGAUGAGUUCUCCCUGACCCUUUAAGGGUCCUGAAGGAACGUUGAAGACGACGACGUUGAUAGGCCGGGUGUGUAAGCGCAGCGAUGCGUUGAGCUAACCGGUACUAAUGAACCGUGAGGCUUAACCUU